rnacentral:rRNA from 1 species
AGAGUUUGAUCAUGGCUCAGAUUGAACGCUGGCGGCAGGCUUAACACAUGCAAGUCGAACGGUAACAUAAACUAGCUUGCUAGUUUGAUGACGAGUGGCGGACGGGUGAGUAAUGCUUGGGAAUAUGCCUUGAAGUGGGGGACAACAGUUGGAAACGACUGCUAAUACCGCAUAAUGUGCUUUUUGUAGUGAAAAGUACCAAAGGGGGGGCUCUUCGGACCUCUCGCUUCUUGAUUAGCCCAAGUGAGAUUAGCUAGUUGGUGAGGUAAUGGCUCACCAAGGCGACGAUCUCUAGCUGGUUUGAGAGGAUGAUCAGCCACACUGGGACUGAGACACGGCCCAGACUCCUACGGGAGGCAGCAGUGGGGAAUAUUGCACAAUGGGCGAAAGCCUGAUGCAGCCAUGCCGCGUGUGUGAAGAAGGCCUUCGGGUUGUAAAGCACUUUCAGUUGUGAGGAAAGGUUGUAGUUUAAUAUGCUAUAGCUGUGACGUUAACAACAGAAGAAGCACCGGCUAACUUCGUGCCAGCAGCCGCGGUAAUACGAGGGGUGCAAGCGUUAAUCGGAAUUACUGGGCGUAAAGCGUGCGUAGGCGGUUUGUUAAGUGAGAUGUGAAAUCCCGGGGCUCAACCUCGGAACUGCAUUUCGAACUGGCAGGCUAGAAUACUGUAGAGGGGGGUAGAAUUUCA